rnacentral:rRNA from 1 species
GAUGAACGCUGACAGAAUGCUUAACACAUGCAAGUCAACUUGAACUUCGGUUUGGGUGGCGGACGGGUGAGUAACGCGUAAAGAACUUGCCUCACAGCUAGGGACAACAUUUGGAAACGAAUGCUAAUACCUGAUAUUAUGAUUUUAGGGCAUCCUAGAAUUAUGAAAGCUAUAUGCGCUGUGAGAGAGCUUUGCGUCCCAUUAGCUAGUUGGAGAGGUAACGGCUCACCAAGGCGAUGAUGGGUAGCCGGCCUGAGAGGGUGAACGGCCACAAGGGGACUGAGACACGGCCCUUACUCCUACGGGAGGCAGCAGUGGGGAAUAUUGGACAAUGGACCAAGAGUCUGAUCCAGCAAUUCUGUGUGCACGAUGAAGUUUUUCGGAAUGUAAAGUGCUUUCGGUUGGGAAGAAAAAAAUGACGGUACCAACAGAAGAAGUGACGGCUAAAUACGUG